rnacentral:rRNA from 2 species
GGACCUUCGAUGGACGAAGUCUGACGGAGCACGCCGCGUGAGUGAUGAAGGUUUUCGGAUCGUAAAGCUCUGUUGUUAGGGAAGAACAAGUGCCGUUCAAAUAGGGCGGCACCUUGACGGUACCUAACCAGAAAGCCACGGCUAACUACGUGCCAGCAGCCGCGGUAAUACGUAGGUGGCAAGCGUUGUCCGGAAUUAUUGGGCGUAAAGGGCUCGCAGGCGGUUUCUUAAGUCUGAUGUGAAAGCCCCCGGCUCAACCGGGGAGGGUCAUUGGAAACUGGGGAACUUGAGUGCAGAAGAGGAGAGUGGAAUUCCACGUGUAGCGGUGAAAUGCGUAGAGAUGUGGAGGAACACCAGUGGCGAAGGCGACUCUCUGGUCUGUAACUGACGCUGAGGAGCGAAAGCGUGGGGAGCGAACAGGAUUAGAUACCCUGGUAGUCCACGCCGUAAACGAUGAGUGCUAAGUGUUAGGGGGUUUCCGCCCCUUAGUGCUGCAGCUAACGCAUUAAGCACUCCGCCUGGGGAGUACGGUCGCAAGACUGAAACUCAAAGGAAUUGACGGGGGCCCGCACAAGCGGUGGAGCAUGUGGUUUAAUUCGAAGCAACGCGAAGAACCUUACCAGGUCUUGACAUCCUCUGACAAUCCUAGAGAUAGGACGUCCCCUUCGGGGGCAGAGUGACAGGUGGUGCAUGGUUGUCGUCAGCUCGUGUCGUGAGAUGUUGGGUUAAGUCCGC